rnacentral:rRNA from 1 species
GAUUAGAAUUUAAGGUCUAGCCUGCCCACUGAAUUAUUAAAUGGCCGCAGUAAUUUGACUGUGCAAAGGUAGCAUAAUCAUUAGUUUUUUAAUUAAAAGCUUGUAUGAAUGGUUGGACGAAAUAAAUACUGUCUUUAAAUAAUUAAUAGAAUUUAAUUUUUAAGUUAAAAAGCUUAAAUAUUUAUUAAAGACGAGAAGACCCUAUAGAUUUUUAUAAUAUUUUAUAUAUAUUUAAUUAAGAUUAUUUUAUUAUUUAUAUUAAAUAUUAUUUUGUUGGGGUAAUAGAAAGAUUUAAAUAAUUCUUUAUUUUUUAAAUAUUAAUAAAUAGGUUUAUGAUCCUUUAUUAUAGAUUUUAAGAUUAAAUUACCUUAGGGAUAACAGCGUAAUUUUUUUAAAGAGUUCAUAUCGAUAAAAAAGUUUGCGACCUCGAUGUUGGAUUAAAAAUUAUUUUAGGUGUAGUAGUUUAAAAUUUUGGUCUGUUCGACCAUUGAAUUUUUACAUGAUCUGAGUUCAGACCGGCGUAAGCCAGGUCGGUUUCUAUCUUUAUUUAAUUAUUAUAUUUUAGUACGAAAGGACCAAAUAUGAGAUAUAUUUAUAGUUAAUUUUUUGAAUUAUA